AGAGUUUGAUCCUGGCUCAGGAUGAACGCUAGCGGCAGGCUUAACACAUGCAAGUCGAGGGGCAGCACGGGCUUCGGCCUGGUGGCGACCGGCAAACGGGUGCGGAACACGUACGCAACAUACCCUUAUCUGGGGGAUAGCCUUCUGAAAAGGAGAUUAAUACCCCAUAGUAUAGUUGCCUGGCAUCAGGUGAUUAUUAA
rnacentral:rRNA from 1 species